UACGGAGGGUGCAAACGUUGCUCGGAAUCAUUGGGCGUAAAGCGCGGGCAGGCGGCCCGCUCAGUCGGCCGUGAAAGCGCCGGGCUCAACUCGGCGAGGUCGGGCGAUACUGGCGGGCUCGAGGCUGGUAGAGGGCGGUGGAAUUCCGGGUGUAGUGGUGGAAUGCGUAGAGCUCCGGAGGAACACCAGUGGCGAAGGCGGCCGCCUGGGCCAGUCCUGACGCUGAGCCGCGAAAGCGUGGGGAGCGAUCCGG
rnacentral:rRNA from 1 species